GAGGAAGGAACUUGAUGAUGGGAAGGAUCUCGGGAUGCCGGAUGGGGUGCUGAUUAACGGCAAGGGUCCGUAUCAGUACAACAGUUCUCUGGUUCCGGCGGGGAUUGACCCCUUUACUCUGAAAGUUCAGCCAGGCAAGACGUAUAGGAUUCGUGUGCACAACGUGGGCAUAUCCACUAGCUUAAACUUCAGGAUCCAAAACCAC
rnacentral:misc_RNA from 1 species